rnacentral:lncRNA from 1 species
AAUGUCGCAAGUGAGGUAAUCUUCACACAACCCAUGUAAUACAUAAGGGAAAAGAUACAUAGUUGGCUUACAAUCGCCACUUCACACAAUUACAUGAAUAAAUCAUUACAUCAACCAGAUACAAUCAAGGUCCGACUACGGAACCAAAAUAAAAGAAGAACCCCAAAUGCUACACAGAUCCCCGAUCGUCCCGACUGGGCUCCACUACUGAUCAACUAGAACGAAACAACAUAAAGGACAAGAUCUUCAUUGAGCUCCUCCUGAGCUUGGUUGCGUCAUCUGCACGGACUCAUCGACACCUGCAAGCUGGGUUUGGAAGUAUCUGUGAGUCACGAGGACUCAACAAUCUCGCACCCUCGCGAUCAAGACUAUUUAAGCUUAUGGGUAAGGUAAAAGGUAUGAGGUGGAGCUGCAGCAAGCGACUAGCAUAUAUGGUGGCUAAACAUACGCAAAUGAGAGCGAGAAGAGAAGGCAAAGCACGACCGAGAAACUAUGAUCAAGAAGUGAUCCUAGAACAACCUACGUCAAGCAUAACUCCAACACCGUGUUCACUUCCCGGACCCCGCCGAGAAGAGACCAUCACGGUUACACACGUGGUUGAUGCAUUUUAAUUAAGGUCAACUUCAGGUUUUCUACAACCGGACAUUAACAAAUUCCCAUCUGCCCAUAAUCGCGGGCACGGCUUUCGAAAGUUCAAAUCCCUGCAGGGGUGUCCCAACUUAGCCCAUGACAAACUCUCAUGGUCAACGAAGGAGUAGACCUUCUCCCGAGACAUUCCGAUCAGACUGGGUAUCCCCAGUUCUACAAGACACUUCGACAAGUUAAAACAAAUCCAGCAAUACCGCCCGAAUGUGCCGACAAAUCCCGAUAGGAGCUGCACAUAUCUCUAUCUCAAGGCACACUCAGAUUGUCCUAGGUACGGGUAGGCCAGCCCAGAGUUGCCCCUGGUGCCCACCGGUAGCUGACAGGUUGGACCAACACUCAGAGGAGCACUGGCUCGGGGGGGGGGGGUAAAAUAAUGAUGACCCUUGAGUCUGCAAAACCCAAGGGAAAGAAAAGGCUAGGUGGCAAAUGGUAAAACCAAUGUUGGGCAUUGCUGGAGGAGUUUUACUCAAGGCAAACUAUCAAGGGGUUCCCAUAAUAGCCCAACCGCGUAAGGAACGCAAAAUCCGGGAACAUAACACCGAUAUGACGGAAACUAGGGCGGCAAGAGUGGAACAAAACACCAGGCAUAAGGCCGAGCCUUCCACCCUUUACCAAGUAUAUAGAUGCAUUAAUUAAAUAAGAUAUAUUGUGAUAUCCCAACAAGUAAACAUGUUCCAACAAGGAACAACAUCUCCAUGUUCCAACAAGGAACAAACUUCAAUCUUCACCUGCAACUAACAAUGCUAUAAGAGGGGCUGAGCAAAGCGGUAACAUAGCCAAACAACGGUUUGCUAGGACAAGGUGGGUUAGAGGCUUGGUUCAACAAUAUGGGAGGCAUGAUACGCAAGUGGUAGGUAUCGCAGCAUAGGCAUAGCAAAAGAGCGAGCAACUAGCAAGCAAAGAUAGAAGUGAUUUCGAGGGUAUGGUCAUCUUGCCUGAAAUCCCACAAGGAAGAAGAACGAGUCCAUGAAGAAGACAAACGGACGUAGACGAACGGUUCCUCACAAACGCGACGUUAUCGGUAACAACCCGAAGAAGCAACACCGGAAAGAAGCAAACAACAUAGUAAACAACCACCACAUAAUCAUGGCAUGAUGCACAAUCAAGUAUAAUGCAUGUACGGUUUAACGAAGCAUGGCAUGGCAAAAUGCACAAGCAAUCCUACAAAUUAAGUGGAGCUCAACAUGCAACGGGUUGCAUAUUGACGAAACACCACAUUCAAAUUAUUUAGUUCG